rnacentral:lncRNA from 1 species
ACAAAUUAAACAUUAUCGAAAAAUGAAAUUAGUAUGCAAUAUAAUAAAUGGAACCAUUUUCACUUUCACCAUGACUAGUCAAUAAUUGAAGGGUUUGUUGGGCUGGCCUGUGAAAAUUGGUAUCCGCGUAUCGCCCACUCAUAAUAGAAGCUUUGAAUACGGGCUGCUGUUGCUGGAUUGGUCAAAAUUGGUUUCAUGUGAUAUUUCAUUUAUAUUUUUCUGUGUAAUAACAAAACAUCUAG